GAGUUUGAUCAUGGCUCAGGAUGAACGCUAGCGGCAGGCUUAAUACAUGCAAGUCGAGGGGCAGCAGCUUUAUAGCAAUAUAGAGGCUGGCGACCGGCAAACGGGUGCGGAACACGUACACAACCUUCCUUGAAUAGGGGGAUAGCCCAUAGAAAUGUGGAUUAAUACCCCGUAAUAUAGCGGUGUGGCAUCACACUGUUAUUAUAGUUUCGGCGAUUCGAGAUGGGUGUGCGGCUGAUUAGGUAGUUGGCGGGGUAAAGGCCCACCAAGCCUUCGAUCAGUAGCUGAUGUGAGAGCAUGAUCAGCCACACGGGCACUGAGACACGGGCCCGACUCCUACGGGAGGCAGCAGUAAGGAAUAUUGGUCAAUGGACGCAAGUCUGAACCAGCCAUGCCGCGUGAAGGAUGAAGGUCCUCUGGAUUGUAAACUUCUUUUAUAGGGGGCGAAAAAAGGUCUUUCUAGAUCACUUGACAGUACCCUAUGAAUAAGCACCGGCUAACUCCGUGCCAGCAGCCGCGGUAAUACGGAGGGUGCAAGCGUUAUCCGGAUUCACUGGGUUUAAAGGGUGCGUASGCGGGUAAGUAAGUCARAGGUGAAAAUCCUGKAGCUUAACUCCARAACUGCCUUUGAWACUAUCUAUCUUGAAUAUGGGUGGAGGUAAGCGGAAWUAUGUCAUGUACCGGYGWAAUUGCWUAUKUUUUG
rnacentral:rRNA from 1 species